ensembl:lncRNA
AGGGAGAGGGAGUCAGGGAGAGGGAGACACAGAGAGUCAGGGAGAGAGAGAGAUGGGGAGAGGGAGAGAGAGAGACAGGGAGAGGGAGAGGGAGAGUCAGGGAGAGACGGGGAGAGGGAGAGAGAGAGAGAGUCACGGAGAGGGAGAGAGAGAGUCAGGGAGAGGGAGAGAGAGAGUCAGGGAGAGAGAGAGAGAGUCAGGGAGAGCGAGAGAGAGAGAGAGAGUCAGGGAGAGAGAGAGAGAGAGACUCAGGGAGAGAGAGAGAGUCAGGGAGAGAGAGAGAGAGUCAGUGAGAGAGAGAGAGAGAGAGUCAGGGAGAGAGAGAGAGAGAGAGAGGGAGAGAGAGAGAGAGAGGGAGAGAGAGAGAGAGAGAGUCAGGGAGAGAGAGAGAGAGAGUCAGGGAGAGAGAGAGAGAGAGUCAGGGAGAGAGAGAGAGUCAGGGAGAGAGAGAGAGUCAGGGAGAGAGAGACAGGGAGAGAGAGAGAGGGAGAGAGAGACAGAGGAGAGAGAGAGAGUCAGGGAGAGAGAGAGAGACAGGGAGAGAGAGAGAGAGAGAGAGAGUCAGGGAGAGAGAGAGAGUCAGGGAGAGAGAGAGAGAGAGUCAGGGAGAGAGAGAGAGAGUCAGGGAGAGAGAGAGAGAGAGGGAGAGAGAGAGAGAGUCAGGGAGAGAGAGAGAGACAGGGAGAGAGAGAGAGUCAGGGAGAGAGAGAGAGUCAGGGAGAGAGAGAGAGACAGGGAGAGAGAGAGACAGGGAGAGAGAGACAGAGAGAGAGUCAGGGAGAGAGAGAGAGAG